rnacentral:rRNA from 1 species
GAUGAACGCUGGCGGCGUGCCUAACACAUGCAAGUCGAGCGAACAGACGAGGAGCUUGCUCCUCUGACGUUAGCGGCGGACGGGUGAGUAACACGUGGAUAACCUACCUAUAAGACUGGGAUAACUUCGGGAAACCGGAGCUAAUACCGGAUAAUAUAUUGAACCGCAUGGUUCAAUAGUGAAAGACGGUUUUGCUGUCACUUAUAGAUGGAUCCGCGCCGGAUUAGCUAGUUGGUAAGGUAACGGCUUACCAAGGCGACGAUGCGUAGCUGACCUGAGAGGGUGAUCAGCCACACUGGAACUGAGACACGGUCCAGACUACUACGGGAGGCAGCAGUGGGGAAUAUUGGACAAUGGGCGCAAGCCUGAUCCAGCCAUACCGCGUGGGUGAAGAAGGCCUUCGGGUUGUAAAGCCCUUUUGUUGGGAAAGAAAAGCAGCAGGUUAAUACCCAGCUGUUCUGACGGUACCCAAAGAAUAAGCACCGGCUAACUUCGUG